AUAAAACAAGUUUCUGCAACAACAAAAUUGUUGUACACUUAAAAUUUCAUUUAAGUGAGUUACUUACUAAUUCAGUUUCGAUUUCGUAGUUGGAAAUUGAAAAGACAACCUUGACAUCGCAGUGAUUAUUCAUAAGCUGGUGAAAAUGUGGUGGCUUCUAAUUGCUGUCAUCACACUUCUAUAUGCUUUAUACAUCCGUCUAAAGAACAAAAACCAAUACUGGAUCAAAAAAGGGGUCAAACAGGGCUCCCCUGUUCUCAUAUUUGGGGACAAAUGGCGAGCAAUUGCACACGAUCAGUCUUUAGCAGACAUGGUUCAAAAUGUCUACAACGUGGGUCCAGGCGACAGAUAUUGCGGGGCUUAUGACUUCAUGUCACCGGCACUCGUAUUAAAAGACCCAGAUUUGAUUAAGGACAUCUUAGUCAAAGAUUUUGACCAUUUUGUUGACCAUAAACGGGUCAUACCAGAAGGAAGUGAUCCAAUUUGGGACAAAAAUUUGUUUUUCCUGACUGGGGAAAAAUGGCGUGAGAUGCGAUCAACUCUCAGCCCAGUUUUUACAGGAUCAAAAAUGAGGUUUAUGUUUAAUUUAAUUACGAAAAGUGCCAAACAAUUCGUGCAGCAUUUCUUAAAACAAGAAGAUAAAAUAAUCCCUGUAGAGAUGAAAGAUGUAUGUGCUAGACUAACCAAUGACAUUAUCGCAAGCACAGUUUUUGGCUUUGAGAGUGAUUCGUUGGAAGACCCCGAUAGUAAAUUUUAUGAAAUGGCGAGGAAAAUCACUGACUUUAGUGGACUUUGGCAAGGCCUCAAGCUUCUAGGCUUUUUCAUCUUUCCAAAAUUGUAUAAAACUUUAAAAAUCAAAAUUUUAUCAACGGAAAUUUCAAAUUUCUUUUACAAAAUUGUUAAAGAAAACAUUAGGAGCAGACAAUUACAAAAUAUAUCAAGACCAGACAUGAUCAGUUUACUGAUGGAAGCUCGUGAAAAUCAUCAAUUAAUCCAGGGUAUUGAAAUAAGUGAUGAAGACGUGACUGCUCAAGCUCUCGUCUUCUUUUUCGCUGGUUUUGACUCAGUUUCUUCUUUGAUGACUUUCAUGUCGUACGAAUUAGCCUUAAACCCUGAUGUUCAGAAAAAAUUAAUUGAAGAAAUCGACAAGAAUACGAAAACUUUAGACUACGAUGUGAUCAAAAGCCUGAAAUAUUUGGAUAUGGUUGUAUCAGAAAGUUUAAGAAAGUGGCCAAUUACACCUUUUGUGAACAGAGUAUGCACAAUCCCUUACACCAUAAAGCCAAAAACACCAAAUGAAAAUCCCAUACACUUAAAAAAAGACGCAAUCGUGUUUCUACCAAUUUAUGGACUUCAUCAUGAUCCCAAAUAUUUUGAAGAUCCGGAACGUUUUGAUCCAGAACGAUUUAGUGAUGAAAACAAGUCGAAAAUAAUACCAUACACUUAUAUGCCUUUUGGGGCAGGACCAAGGAAGUGUAUUGGUUACAGAUUUGCUUUAUUAGAAAUUAAAAUUUUAUUUUUUUAUUUAUUAUCUAAUUUUGAAAUUGUCACAAUAAAUAAAACCGCAAUUCCGGUGAAAAUGUGCAAGAAAGCUCUCAAUAUGACUCCCGAGGGUGGCUUGUGGCUUGGUUUAAAACGACGAAAAUAAAUUUAUUGUAAAUAAUCUUACUCAUUUAACGCCUCAGUUUAAUGUGAUUUUUUGAUACUUUGUUUGCAUUUUAUUGGCAUUUAAUGGUUGUUAAUAAUGGGAAUAAAUAAUUUCCUGCGUAAAGUUUUAUUAGUUUCAAAAUUUCCGCCCUAUGCGGUUGCCGGAUAUUUCCGUUACGGUCGCCAUGACACUUUUCCUCUUGCUGUGACGCCUUGAUGCUCGAUGCAUCACGCUUAUCGUCACUCGAAUAAAUGUUUUGAAAAUCAUACAAUUUCAGUGAAGUUUUAGUGUUGAUUUUACGACUUUUAAUUAUAUUGAGCAAAUAUAAAGAAAUAAUUACAUUUACGAAAGGUUUUAACCAAAUAAGCUAUGGCGUACAAUACCCGAAGAAGUGGCGGCGAGGCCAUAAGUACAGUUGGGGCACGUCGAAAUCCUCCAAUCACCAACAAUUUCAUUCCUGGUGGGCAGGUGUCAACGGGCAAUAAAGCUACACAGAGCCUGGGUAGUGGUACUGUUAUAGGCACCUCAUUGUUUAAUGUUCCUCCAGCAAACAUUACAGCUCCUAAGCCGUGUUAAUUUUGCUGCAUAUGUUUCGGUGCGAUUCGAUGCAUAUGCGCAAGAAGUAAGGAAAAUCUGUAAUCUUUGGUGGUUGAACAAGAAUGUGUACCUUGGCGCAUUGUUUCAAAAUUUGUUUGAUAGGAAACAAUCAAGGCAUCAAACAAAUCUUGCAAAAUAACAAUUUUGGUCAAGGUAUUGUUGACUUGAAAUCUUUAACUGUACGUCACAGCUAAAGAUGCACCUAUACCGGUGCGCACAACCAAGAAGGUUUUAACCAAAAUUAAACCUGCUCUAUAGCUGGCGCCCCAGAACAGGCCUCCGCAACCCAGAAUGCA